AACGCAAAUUGCACUUUCUGGUAUUCCGGAGAGUAUGCCUGUUUGAGGGUCAGUGUAAUAAAUAAAUCGUGGUUGUUACCACCUUUCGUGGUAACGCUUCGGAAUUGAGUCGUCUUACCUUCGGUUAAGUGACUUAAAAUUUUAUCAUACGAUUUCGAAACGUAUUUAAUGUAUUAUGUACGUUCACGAAUAUCGAAUGUUUAUUAGGUGCGGUCAUUUUUCAUGAAUCGUGUCUAUAAUUUUUUUUUUUUUUGACCUCAAAUCAGGUAAGAAUACCCGCUGAACUUAA
rnacentral:misc_RNA from 1 species